ACCAUGUUCCUUAUCAUCAUUUAAGUUGUUUGAUUUGAAUUCUCGUACAUAUGGGUUUUCAGAAGAACAAGGUGAGAUUAGACUUUCUGCCAUACUCUCAAAGAGAUAUAAAGUUUUCUGCCCUUUUAUUUCCUUAUUUUUAUCCUUGGAUGGUCUAAUCCAAGACUAUAAUAGGGAUAUUGAUAUAAGUAAACUGUUCAUAGUGUUCAACCCGAACUGAUUUGUACCUAUGCAUAGAUCAGUGUAUGGAUGUAACCAACGGCUUUGGAAAUCCUCCAGAAAACUGCAAUAAACCCUCUUCAUUAUCAUCUUCACUCUUGGUCUAAUUCUUUGUGGUGAUCUACCUCUUUGAAUUUGAAAUCUUCGUGGAUGAUUCCAAUGGUAAUGGCAAAGAAGCAGGUACAACAAUUGAAGAGGGCUGCAGACGAGGAAGUAGGAGCUCAAUGCCCAUGAAAGACUCAUUCUUUAGGAAGCACAUUUUUUAUGUUUAAUUUUAUUUGUUUAAUCUGGGCUAUUAUUCACAUGAAUUUUCAGGUCAAAUUAUAUCAAACUUUUUAAUGGUUUCUCUCACUAUGCGAAAAAGGGGGUGAAAUUCUUCAGUGCUUCAUUCCUCAAUCAGUUCUGGUAAUUUAUUUUGAGGUUUUCACAAGGCACUGAUUUAAAUUAAUCUUGCUAUAUGUUCUAAGUUUUACCUGGAUAGAUUGGCAUCUAGACACAAAGCCAUAGACAUUGCACACAAAUAGAAACCCAUCUCUAAAAACUAUAGCAAUGCCUUUUACCACCUGCCACUGCUCUCACCCUCUUCCCGAACUCCUCUCACAUAUUUCUUACAUGCUUCACCUACCCUUGCUAGAGGUGAUGGUGUAUCAAAGAGUAGUUGGUGGAAUGGCUAAAGAAAGUUGAGAUGCAGGAUGCAAGGAGGAACUGCACCAAAUCUUCAUCCUUAAGAAGCUUGCCUCUGGUGUCACCACAAAACCUGCAUCUGAGAUGCCUCCAUCAUCAAAGAAGAUGGACCGGCUCAAGGUAGAGGUGGAAGAGCUCGAGGACAAAGGUGGAUAAGCUUGAUUUACAUAAAGAAAGAUUGCCUUCUAGGAGUACUGAGAUGACAACCUUGGUGCAUGCAAACAAUGGCAAGAGAAUGAACAACAGAGAGGAGAAGAGAGCUAUGGAAAAACAAAACCCAGAGAAG
rnacentral:lncRNA from 1 species